AUUGAACGCUGGCGGCAGGCCUAACACAUGCAAGUCGAGCGAGCGGCGGACGGGUGAGUAAUGUCUGGGAAACUGCCUGAUGUAGGGGGAUAACUCCUGGAAACGGUAGAUAAUACCGCAUACCCUCAGAUGUGCCCAGAUGGGGUUAGCUUGUAGGGGGGGUAACGGCUCACCUAGGCGACGAUCCCUAGCUGGUCUGAGAGGAUGACCAGCCACACUGGAACUGAGACACGGUCCAGACUCCUACGGUAGGCAGCAGUGGGGAAUAUUGCACAAUGGGCGCAAGCCUGAUGCAGCCAUGCCGCGUGUGUGAAGAAGGCCUUCGGGUUGUAAAGUACUUUCAGCCGGGAGGCGUUACCAACAGAAUAAGCACCGGCUAACUCCGUGCCAGCAGCCGCGGUAAUUC
rnacentral:rRNA from 1 species